AUUGAACGCUGGCGGCAGGCCUAACACAUGCAAGUCGAGCGGAUGAAGGGUGCUUGCUCCUGGAUUCAGCGGCGGACGGGUGUGUAAUGCCUAGGAAUCUGCUUGGUAGUGGUGUAUAACGUCCUGAAACGGGCGCUAAUACCGCAUACGUCCUGCGGGUGCAAGUUGGGGAUCUUCGGACCUCACGCUAUCAGAUGAGCCUAGGUCGGAUUAGCUAGUUGGUGGGUUAAAGGCCUACCAAGGCGACGAUCGGUAACUGGACUGAGAGAAUGAUCAGUCACACUGGAACGGAGACACGGACAAGAGUACUAAGAGAGGCAGCAGAGGGGAAUAUUAGGCAAUAGGCGAAAGCAUGAUCCAGCCAUGCCGCGUGUGAGAAGAAGGUCUUCGGAUUGUAAAGCACGUUAAGUGGGGAGGAAGGGCAGUAAGUUAAUACCAUGCUGGAGUGACGUUACCAACAGAAGAAGCACCGGCUAACUUCGUG
rnacentral:rRNA from 1 species